rnacentral:tRNA from 1 species
AGGAGUUUAGGAUAAUCUACUAA